UACGAAGGGGGCUAGCGUUGUUCGGAAUUACUGGGCGUAAAGCGCACGUAGGCGGACAUUUUAAGUCAGGGGUGAAAUCCCGGAGCUCAACUCCGGAACUGCCUUUGAUACUGGGUGUCUUGAGUGUGGAAGAGGUGAGUGGAAUUCCGAGUGUAGAGGUGAAAUUCGUAGAUAUUCGGAGGAACACCAGUGGCGAAGGCGGCUCACUGGUCCAUUACUGACGCUGAGGUGCGAAAGCGUGGGGAGCAAACAGG
rnacentral:rRNA from 1 species